UCCCAGGGCUCUUGGUGUCAGGGCAGCUGAGCAGGUGGAACCAGACGGCCCAGGGCGGGCAGAGAGUGACAACCUCAUGCCAUCCCUGGAUCCCCACUCUGGCCCUGGCAGAGCUGAACGUGGUAUGCAGCCGAACCCUCGUCGGACUGAGGUGCAGGGUCUUUCCAAGAUGGGUGACCCCAUCGAUGGUCAUAUAACUGGUACCUCAGAUGUGCUCCAACAUGGCUUCACGUGCUAAGCUGGCGCUACACCUUUCCCAGUGGUGACCCACAGGUGGAGGAACGGCUGCAGGAGUACAUGCUGAGCAAGGGCUUGGAGGGACAGGAUCACAGUUUCUUCCAGAACUGAACAGGGAGGGGGACGGGUUGGGCAAGGAAAUCCCUCAAAGUAGUGUACCACCCUAAGGGGCCACAUGA